rnacentral:rRNA from 1 species
CGGACGGGUGAGUAACGCGUGGGUAACCUGCCUCAUACAGGGGGAUAACAGUUAGAAAUGACUGCUAAUACCGCAUAAGACCACAGCACCGCAUGGUGCAGGGGUAAAAACUCCGGUGGUAUGAGAUGGACCCGCGUCUGAUUAGGUAGUUGGUGGGGUAGCGGCCUACCAAGCCGACGAUCAGUAGCCGACCUGAGAGGGUGACCGGCCACAUUGGGACUGAGACACGGCCCAA